rnacentral:ncRNA from 1 species
UACUUAUUCAGAGCAGGCGAAGUGAUCAGUCUUAUGACCCUGCAGCAACCUAUUUGAUUUAGGUGCUUACUGACAGGGGGAGACCCACCAAUAAGGA